AUGGAUCCGGCAUGCUGUCGACUGAUAAGCCACCGGAUGGGAGAACAGCGGGGCAGCGGUGGGAGAACAGAGCCGUCGGGAUCCCGCGCUGGACGGCGGCGCCCUAGCCCGUGGUCGGAGGAGGGAGGCGCAGGUACGGGCGCGACAAGGGAGCCGAGCUCGUGGGGGACAUCAACGUGCUCGUUUCGGCCUUCUGCUGCUCGAUUGCGGCACGGCUUGGCCAGAUCCAAUGCUAGGGACACGCGGCGGGGUCGUGGCGAGGUGCACCAGCAGCGGUUAGUCAGGGGUGGGGCGCAGGCCGCGACGGGGGGCGAGGGCGCCGGCGCGUGGUGGGAAGUGGUCGGGUGGGGCGUGGUGGGAGGUGGUCGGGGUGGGCGCACCGGCGCGUGGUGGGAGGUGGUCGGGGUGGGCGCGCCGCCGCGUGGUGGGGGCGCCACAACGAGGGUGCGAGGUGGUAGGGGGUGGGGCGCCGCCACGCGACACGAAGUGGUCGGGGUGGUCGUGCGGUGGUGCUGGGAGAGAGAUGGAGCGGGCGGGGCUGAGAAGGGGAGAUCGUGGGGAUUGGAGGGAGGAGCACAGGGACAAGAGAGAGAGAGGUGGGUAGUGACGCGAGGAUAA
rnacentral:rRNA from 1 species